rnacentral:rRNA from 1 species
GUGCCAGCAGCCGCGGUACUACCGGCAGCUCAAGUGAUGGCCACUCUUAUUGGGCCUAAAGCGUCCGUAGCUGGCCGACCAAGUCUCCCGGGAAAUCCACCCGCCCAACGGGUGGGCGUCCGGUAGAAACUGGCCGGCUUGGAACCGGAAGGCUCAGAGAGUACGUCCGGGGUAGGAGUGAAAUCCCGUAAUCCCGGACGGACCGCCGGUGGCGAAAGCGCCUCGGGAAGACGGACCCGACAGUGAGGGACGAAAGCUGGGAUCUCGAACCGGAUUAGAUACCCGAGUAGUCC